GUGAGGAAUUUUGCGCAAUGGGGGCAACCCUGACGCAGCGACGCCGCGUGGAGGACGAAGUCUUUCGGGAUGUAAACUCCUGUCAGUGGGGACGAUAAUGACGGUACCCACAGAGGAAGCACCGGCUAACUCCGUGCCAGCAGCCGCGGUAAGACGGAGGGUGCAAGCGUGGUUCGGAAUUACUGGGCGUAAAGCGUAUGUAGGCGGCAAGUUAAGUUCAAUGUUAAAGCCCACGGCUCAACCGAGGAGAUGCAUUGAAUACUGGCUAGCUAGAGGGUGUUAGAGGAAGACGGAAUUCCCAGUGUAGCGGUGAAAUGCGUAGAUAUUGGGAGGAACAUCGGUAGCGAAAGCGGUCUUCUGGGACAUACCAGACGCUGAGGUACGAAAGCGUGGGGAGCAAACGGGAUUAGAUACCCUAGUAGUCC
rnacentral:rRNA from 1 species